rnacentral:rRNA from 1 species
ACGGGGUUGCCAUCAGGCUCCGAAACUUCACACUGAGGCAACUCCGAUGAGGGAUCCGUUAGUGCUUAGCACAUUUAGUGUUAAGCUUUUUCUUAAGCGUAGAUAACUUAAGGAAAUAAGGCCUGGGGUUAAGAACGGGUGCCAGCCGCCGCGGUAAUACCCGCAGGCCCAAGUGGUGGUCGAUUUUAUUGAGUCUAAAACGUUCGUAGCCGGUUUGGUAAAUCCUUGGGUAAAUCGAAGAGGCUUAACCUUUCGAAUUCCGAGGAGACUGCCAAACUUGGGACCGGGAGAGGCGAGAGGUACUUCUGGGGUAGGGGUAAAAUCCUGUAAUCCUAGAAGGACCGCCGGUGGCGAAGGCGUCUCGCUAGAACGGAUCCGACGGUGAGGGACGAAGCCCUGGGUCGCAAACGGGAUUAGAUACCCCGGUAGUCCAGGGUGUAAACGCUGCAGACUUGGUGUUGGGGGCCCUACGGGGGCGUUCAGUGCCGGAGAGAAGUUGUUAAGUCUGCUACUUGGGGAGUACGUCCGCAAGGAUGAAACUUCCAGGAAUUGGCGGGGGAGCAC